rnacentral:piRNA from 1 species
UUUUUUGUCGGUGAGGCCUAUAUGUCGUUU